rnacentral:rRNA from 1 species
AUUGAACGCUGGCGGCAGGCCUAACACAUGCAAGUCGAACGAGCGGCGGACGGGUGAGUAAUGUAUGGGGAUCUAGCUGAUGGAGGGGGAUAACUACGGGAAACGGUGGCUAAUACCGCAUACUAUAGGAUGAGCCCAUGUGGGAUUAGGUAGUUGGUGGGGUAAAGGCUCACCAAGCCGACGAUCUCUAGCAGGUCUGAGAGGAUGAGCAGCCACACUGGGACUGAGACACGGCCCAGACUCCUACGGGAGGCAGCAGUGGGGAAUAUUGCCCAAUGGGCGCAACCCUGAUGCAGCCAUGCCGCGUGUAUGAAGAAGGCCUUCGGGUUGUAAAGUUCUUUCGGUGGCGAGGCGUUACCUGCAGAAGAAGCACCGGCUAACUCCGUGCCAGCAGCCGCGGUAAUUC